rnacentral:lncRNA from 1 species
CAGACAAAUUGGAGAGAUGGAGGCUUAAAAUAGCAGACAGUCACAGCUGGGACCGCUUUUAAACACCUGACCAUAAAUAUGGUCCUCAUCUGAGCAUGUUUACACUGCUGUGGCUUUCUUCCAACCUGUGUGUGUGUGUGACAGGGAGAGCCAUCAGUGAGAUGGAGAUAAAGAGAACAUGAGAGAGAAUGGGAGAGAGACAACAUGAGAGAGAGACAACAUGAGAGAGAGAGAACAUGAGAGAGAAUGGGAGAGAGACAACAUGAGAGAGAGAAUGGGAGAGAGACAACAUGAGAGAGAGAAUGGGAGAGAGACAACAUGAGAGAGAGAAUGGGAGAGAGACAACAUGAGAGGGAGAGAACAUGAGAGAAUGGGAGAGAGACAACAUAAGAGAGAAUGGGAGAGAGAGAACAUGGGAGAGAAUGGGAGAGAGAGAACAUGAGAAUGGGAGAGAGAGAACAUGAGAGAGAAUGGGAGAGAGACAACAUGAGAGAGAAUGGGAGAGAGAGAACAUGGGAGAGAGACAACAUGAGAGAGAGAGAACAUGAGAGAGAGAACAUGAGAGAGAAUGGGAGAGAGACAACAUGAGAGAGAAUGGGAGAGAGAGAACAUGGGAGAGAAUGGGAGAGAGACAACAUGAGAGAGAGAAUGGGAGAGAGACAACAUGAGAGAGAGAAUGGGAGAGAGACAACAUGAGAGGGAGAGAACAUGAGAGAAUGGGAGUGAGAGAACAUAAGAGAGAAUGGGAGAGAGAGAACAUGGGAGAGAAUGGGAGAGAGAGAACAUGAGAAUGGGAGAGAGAGAACAUGAGAGAGAAUGGGAGAGAGACAACAUGAGAGAGAAUGGGAGAGAGAGAACAUGGGAGAGAGACAACAUGAGAGAGAGAGAACAUGAGAGAGAGAACAUGAGAGAGAAUGGGAGAGAGACAACAUGAGAGAGAAUGGGAGAGAGACAACGAGAGAGAGAGAGAACAUGAGAGAGAAUGGGAGAGAGACAACGAGAGAGAGAGAGAGAACAUGAGAGAGAAUGGGAGAGAGACAACGAGAGAGAGAGAACAUGAGAGAGAAUGGGAGAGAGACAACAUGAGAGAGAGAACAUGAGAGAGAGAACAUGAGAGAGAAUGGGAGAGAGACAACAUGAGAGAGAGAGAACAUGAGAGAGAAUGGGAGAGAGACAACAUGAGAGAGAGAGAACAUGAGAGAGAAUGGGAGAGAGACAACAUGAGAGAGAGAACAUGAGAGAGAGAACAUGAGAGAGAGAACAUGAGAGAGAAUGGGAGAGAGACAACAUGAGAGAGAGAACAUGAGAGAGAGAACAUGAGAGAGAAUGGGAGAGAGACAACAUGAGAGAGAGAGAACAUGAGAGAGAAUGGGAGAGAGACAACAUGAGAGAGAGAGAACAUGAGAGAGAAUGGGAGAGAGACAACAUGAGAGAGAGAGAAUGGGAGAGAGACAACAUGAGAGAGAGAGAACAUGAGAGAGAAUGGGAGAGAGACAACAUGAGAGAGAGAAUGGGAGAGAGAGAACAUGGGAGAGAAUGGGAGAGAGACAACAUGAGAGAGAGAAUGGGAGAGAGAGAACAUGGGAGAGAAUGGGAGAGAGACAACAUGAGAGAGAGAAUGGGAGAGAGAGAACAUGGGAGAGAAUGGGAGAGAGACAACAUGGGAGAGAGAGAGAGAACAGGAGAGAGAGAGUUAUGUGGUGGGUGGCUCUGCUGUCCUGAAUCCUGACUCCAUACUAACAGGUUAUCAGAUAAACUGGCCAAACUGCAUACAUCUGAUGUAUUGUAUAUCUGUGUUAAGCUGCUUUGGACCACAGCCUCUCCUAAGUCGGGGCAAGCCUUUUGCUAGCUCAGAGAGAGAGAGAUAAACGUUAGAGCAAAACAAAAAUCAACAACCCAGCCGUCCUUCCCGUUCACUCCUCCUCCCCUCACUCCCCCAUCUCCACAAACAAGUGGAU